UACGGAGGGUGCAAACGUUGCUCGGAAUCAUUGGGCGUAAAGCGCACGUAGGCGGCCGAAUAAGUCGGGUGUGAAAGCCCUGGGCUCAACCCAGGAAGUGCACUCGAAACUGCUCGGCUUGAAUAUGGAAGAGGGUCGCGGAAUUCCCGGUGUAGAGGUGAAAUUCGUAGAUAUCGGGAGGAACACCAGUGGCGAAGGCGGCGACCUGGGCCAAUAUUGACGCUGAGGUGCGAAAGCGUGGGGAGCAAACAGG
rnacentral:rRNA from 1 species